UGAUGGGAUUCUGGAUCUUUCAGAUCAGUUUGAGAAACGUCUUUCAUCGUGUCAGCUGGGUGCUGCUCUUUGUCUUUUACACUUUGGUAUGUAUAGACUCUGAAACUGUUGCAUCUAUAGACUUUGAAACUCUAGAGGAAACCAAUGACUAGAGUCUUGAACUAGUUCCCUGUUUCGUUUUCACAUGUUUGGUGACCAUUAAAGUCGGUCAGGAGAGCGUUUGAGGAGACGCGGAGAGCCGGACGAGACGAUGGAAACGUUUUAUGUUUUUCUGCUGAUCUCGGCUCUUGGUGUUGCUGUUUCAUCCCAGCCAGACGAUGAAUUCUAUGAUGAUUAUGAUUUUACCCAUUUUUAUCACUUCAAUUACACAUACUUUGGGAACAUAUUUGACAGUGACUCUGUUCCCUCUACAGCUACCGAACCUUCUCCUUCUCUCCAUUCAGCUACCGAACCUUCUCCUUCUCUCCAUUCAGCUACCGAACCUUCUCCUUCUCUCCAUUCAGCUGCCCAACCUUCACCACAGAGAGGAGCUGUUGUCACUAAAUUCAGCCUCUGUCUGUUUCCUGCCAUCUUAAAUUUGUGCCUGAAAGACUGAAAAUAAUGAUGAUAAAGAAGAAAAACUUUGUUUGUUCAGGUUUUGUUUGUUAACUGUAACCCUGAUGAAGACGUGUUAAAUAAGACAAACAAAUAGUGUUAAAAUAAACCAAAUAAUGUUUAUUAUGCAACUAUGUAAUAAACUUUAAAUAAACAAAA